CCUACGGGGAGCAGCAGUCGAGAAUCAUUCACAAUGGGGGAAACCCUGAUGGUGCGACGCCGCGUGGGGGAAUGAAGGUCUUCGGAUUGUAAACCCCUGUCAUGUGGGAGCAAAUUAAAAAGAUAGUACCACAAGAGGAAGAGACGGCUAACUCUGUGCCAGCAGCCGCGGUAAUACAGAGGUCUCAAGCGUUGUUCGGAAUCACUGGGCGUAAAGCGUGCGUAGGCUGUUUCGUAAGUCGUGUGUGAAAGGCGCGGGCUCAACCCGCGGACGGCACAUGAUACUGCGAGACGAGAGGAAUGGAGGGGGAACCGGAAUUCUCGGUGUAGCAGUGAAAUGCGUAGAUAUCGAGAGGAACACUCGUGGCGAAGGCGGGUUCCUGGACAUUAACUGACGCUGAGGCACGAAGGCCAGGGGAGCGAAAGGGAUUAGAUACCCGAGUAGUC
rnacentral:rRNA from 1 species